rnacentral:rRNA from 1 species
UGGGUAAAGGAAAUAUCCUAUGCACCGUAGGUGCCUUCGAGGAACCGUGAGACAGGUGCUGCAUGGCUGUCGUCAGCUCGUGUUGUGAAAUGUUGGGUUAAGUCCCGCAACGAGCGCAACCCUUAUCCUUUGUUGCCAGCGGUCCGGCCGGGAACUCAAAGGAGACUGCCAGUGAUAAACUGGAGGAAGGUGGGGAUGACGUCAAGUCAUCAUGGCCCUUACGACCAGGGCUACACACGUGCUACAAUGGCGCAUACAAAGAGAAGCGACCUCGCGAGAGCAAGCGGACCUCAUAAAGUGCGUCGUAGUCCGGAUUGGAGUCUGCAACUCGACUCCAUGAAGUCGGAAUCGCUAGUAAUCGUGGAUCAGAAUGCCACGGUGAAUACGUUCCCGGGUCUUGUACACACCG